CAGUCGCCACGGGAAUACGAAGGGGGCUAGCGUUGUUCGGAAUUACUGGGCGUAAAGCGCACGUAGGCGGACUUUUAAGUCAGGGGUGAAAUCCCGGGGCUCAACCUCGGAACUGCCUUUGAUACUGGAAGUCUUGAGUGUGGAAGAGGUAAGUGGAAUUGCGAGUGUAGAGGUGAAAUUCGUAGAUAUUCGCAGGAACACCAGUGGCGAAGGCGGCUUACUGGUCCACAACUGACGCUGAGGUGCGAAAGCGUGGGGAGCAAACAGGAUUAGAUACCCCAGUAGUCCCUGUCUCUUAUAC
rnacentral:rRNA from 1 species